rnacentral:lncRNA from 1 species
CGGCGGAGGAGGGGCGGAUGGAGGGAGGAUGCCCGGCGCGGAGGCCGCUGGCCGUCGGGGACGUGUGAAGGGCCCUGGGGCCUGGGCCUCGGCCUCCGAGGGCUGGGGCUGGGCGGGGGAGGGGCCCAGCUGAGCUCCGCCUCUGCGGCCUCCCCAUCCAGGCAUCCGCGCCUGGGACGUGGAUCUUGGCGUCUGCAGCCUUGACCAGGAGCUCAAGACCUUCGUGUCCCAGCACUCGGCCACCUUCUCCAGCAUCGUCAGAGGUGAGGCGGAGCUCCUCUUGCUCAAGGGCAGUUGCUGCUGAGUGCGGGCUGGGCCAGGCCUGUGGCGGGGCGCGGAAACAGGAACAAUGAUGCAGCCCCGCCUGGUUUAGGGGUGACAGGCAGAAACCUUUGUCUUCGGGCCACGUUGCAGACGAGGGACUUGGGGUGUUGUGGGCUGGGGUCUGGCGAUCCCCCCGCCCCCCCAGGGGCUUGGAUGAGGCUGCUGGGCUGGGGCCCUGGGUGGAGGGAAGGGCCCGGCGCCGGCAGUUGGGGAGCUGAGGCGACGUCAGGGGAGCCCAUCCAGCGCCUGGCCUUGGGGGCCAGGAUGCUGGGGUGACCUUGGAUGAACGGUGCUGGGCGGGGCUUGGGUAUCACCUGCACCUCGUUCUGGCUGGCCGGUGGAGCCACCUCCCGACUGCUGGAGGGGGAGGAAGUGUCCAUCCGCGUCUCAUUGUCCCACGGGCCCUGGUGGCUUCCUGAUCCCUCCUGGGGUGGGGCAGAGAGCGGCUGAAAAUCCCGUCUGCUCUGUGUGACCUCGGCGGCCACCUCUCUGUCUUGGCCUUGCUUUCCCCCGUGUGGGGCAGUGUCUGGUUAGCAAGCAUGAGAAGGGUGGCCAUACUCGGAGCUAGGGCUGAGCGUUUAAACCAAGUCUGGGCUCUGGCCACCGAUCUGUGCGGCCUGAUCCCAGAAGCACCACGCCCUGCCCACAAGGCCCCGCCCACCACACAACCCAGAGGGCCAGCCUGGCGCUCACUGGCCAACUGUCCUGCAGGGCAGCGGAGCCUGCAUCACCGCGGAGAUGCCCUGGAGACCCUGGUCCUUCUGAACCCAUCGGACAAGUCCCUGUGUGAUGAGCUCCGGAACCUUCUGCUGGUCCCUGCCCCUCACAAGCUGCUGGUGCUGGCUGGGCGUCCUGCAGCUCCGGAACCUUCUGCUGGUCCCUGCCCCUCACAAGCUGCUGGUGCUGGCUGGGGCCUGCCUGGGGGAGACUGGGGAGCUGCUGCUCCAGACAGGGGGCUUCUCGUCCCACCACUUCCUGCAGAUCCUGGAGGAGAGGGAGGUGAGUCCUGCUCCCCUCUGUGGAGCAGUGGCAGUGUCCUGCAUGCCCUGGUGUCAGAGCAGCGCCUCUCUCCGGGGAAGGGAGGCCUGGGCUGUCCGCAGAGAGGAGAAGGAGGGGGUCCCAGUGUCCCCACGGGGCUGGGCAUUCUGGCUCCAGAAGCCCUAUCCUACUCCUCACCGCAGAUCCGGGACCUGCUGGGCCGCACCCCUGCCUCGGCUGAGCCGCCCACGCUCACGCUCGGCUGCCCGCCUUUCGGGGCCUGGGCGCAGCUGUGCGCCGCCGAAGCGGGCCUGCUUGGGCAUCGGCUGCGGCUCA